AGAGAGAGAGAGAUUGGGAGAGAGUGUAUGUGUGUAUGUGUCUGUGUGUAAGUGAGAGAGAGAGAGAGAAAGACAGAGAUAACGACGACACGGCGCAGGAAGAGGCAAGAGAACCAGUGACAUCGGGAGGGUCGGGUGUUCCUCGUGUAAAACCGCCACCGGAAUAUAUAUCGUGAGUGUGCGGCCGAAGAUUCGCGGAUAGAGGCCGGCCGAUAGUGCGUUCCGGGGUUUAAGAAGGGAAAAAAAGGCAAAGGCUCUCCCGGGUGAAAAGCAAUGCGGGUUCAUUGACUGCGUGCCGCGCAAUGGCCGCAUGCUCGUGGCCGAUGCACAGUGCAUGUGUGACAGGAGCUACGAGGAGGACGACGCCGAGGACGACGAGGCCGAAGAUACCGGCUACAGCCAACAUCGAACUCGAGACCUACUGAAAGUUAUUCCUCCUCUUCUUCUUCUUCCUCGGGUUUCUAGAUGAUCGAGAAACUCGCCUCGAUCACACCAGCGAUAACACCGAGGAACACUGGAAUUUUUCGUGCUUUUUACGUAAUCGGAGUCGAUCUUCGUGGAACUCUCUCGCAAAACACUCCGUUUCCAUUUGCAAGGAUACUCUCAAUUUAUCAAGAGUCGCGAACAAACGCUUAGUUUCGCAACGUUCUCACUCGAAUCUUGGCGAACUUUUCCAUCGUUUUAUCCAACACCGAAUUCGACGAUUCUACCAAAGACGCAAACUCUCUCGAAAAAGAAACCUCGUUGAAUUGUCGUUCGAGAAACGAUCGCUAAGUUGAACAAGUGCACUGAUCCACUCGAAACAGUGCACAGUGCGGAUCGGAAGAAGGAAAAUCAGCUUCUUAUCGAUCAAUUCGUCGUUCGAUUUCGAAAUUUUAUUCGGACUUAAUGCUCGCGACCAAGUGUCUAGACGGGAAAUUGUCACGGAGUCGCGGGAAUAGUUGGCGAAAAUGUUCGUUUGCUGACGAGAGGCAGCAGCAAACCGAUCGCGGUGGUGAAUCGUCGUCGAAGAUCGCGUUGGAAGACGUGUCGAGGUGGCGGGACUUAGGUGAGGAUAUUCCGUCGCGUUUGACGUCGUUGUCGUCGUCGUGGUGCGUUGUUCAGCCCGUGGUUCGGCAGUGAGAGAAAGAUAAGAGAGAGAGGCGGGCAGCUAUAACCGGCAACCACACGGUGGACAUGAUUAUUUCAAAGGAUCUGUUCCUCUUUGGCGACCAAGAUUACCUGCGCCUUCCCAGCAACGAGAAGCGCCAGCAACGGGCAAUGGGCCGACCGAUCAUCAAUGCUCCCAGGUAUUUCUAAGAGUUUCUUUUAUCGUUCGAAAGCCAUACCGAUCAACUCUAAAUGAUAAAAGUAAGUUACGAUUAUUCUACAAAUGUACAUACGUACAUAUAUUAUGAAAGUGUCAUGCGUUUUAGACAUAGGUAAUUAUGUUGGAACGAUGUUAAUUUGGAAAAUGUCGAGUUCAGCUUCCGAGAGAUUUGUAUCGAACCUUGACUAUUAGGCUAUUUUUACAAUUUUCGUCUCUUUUUAAACUUAACAUUUGAAGUUUAAUCAAAUUUUUGCGAGUCACUGAUAAAUUCAUCAUUAAUUCAGUCAUAAUAAAAUUUCUUCAAUAAUUCGUAGCCAAAAAAAAAAAAAAAAAAAAAAAAAAACAAUGCCUCGAUUUUCACAUUUAAUUUCAUGCUUUAGUUGCAACAAUUUUAAAUUGAUUAAUCAAUAAUCAAGUGCUGGUAACUCAUCUUAUCACAGAACCUAAAAAACUAAAAAAAAUUAAAAAAAAAACAAAUAUCACUGCUUGAAAAAAACGUAUCGACUUUCACAUUUAAUUUCA